rnacentral:tRNA from 1 species
GCAGUGGUGGCUCAGUGGCAGAAUUCUUACCUUCCAUGCAGGAGACCAGGGUUCGAUUCCCAGCUAUUGUA